rnacentral:rRNA from 1 species
AGCUGCUCAGCCUGCCGCGUGAGUGAAGAAGGCUUCGGGUUGUAAAGCUCUUUCGGCCGGGACGAAAUCGCAUGGGUGAAUAUCCCGUGUGGAUGACGGUACCGGAACAAGAAGCACCGGCUAACUACGUGCCAGCAGCCGCGGUAAUACGUAGGGUGCGAGCGUUAAUCGGAAUUACUGGGCGUAAAGCGUGCGCAGGCGGUUUCGUAAGCCAGAUGUGAAAUCCCCGGGCUUAACCUGGGAACUGCAUUUGGGACUGCGAGGCUAGAGUACGGCAGAGGGAGGUGGAAUUCCACGUGUAGCAGUGAAAUGCGUAGAUAUGUGGAGGAACACCGAUGGCGAAGGCAGCCUCCUGGGCUAGUACUGACGCUCAUGCACGAAAGCGUGGGGAGCAAACAGGAUUAGAUACCCUGGUAGUCCACGCCCUAAACGAUGACAACUAGUUGUUGGGGAUUUAACAUCCUUAGUAACGUAGCUAACGCGUGAAGUUGUCCGCCUGGGGAGUACGGUCGCAAGAUUAAAACUCAAAGGAAUUGACGGGGGACCGAACAAGCGGUGGAUGAUGUGGCACAAUACGAAUGCAAGGCGUAAAGACUAUACUAACCUUGAUAUGCCAGGAAGUCCGAUGCAAGUGGGUGUUGCCGAAAGGGAACUGGACA